rnacentral:rRNA from 1 species
CAAUAACGUAUAUUAAAGUUGUUGCGGUUAAAAGCUCGUAGUUGGAUUUCUGUCGAAAGUGCUUGGUCCCCACUCUGUGGGCGCAUCUAAGUCGCUUUUGGCAUCCUCCUAUUUUUCGUUUGCUGCACUUAAUUGGGUGGCUUUCGGAGUAGGACUUUUACUUUGAGGAAAUUCGAGUGUUUACGGCAGGCAAUCGCCUUGUAGAUAUUAGCAUGGAAUAAUAAUAUAGGACCUUGGUUCUAUUUUGUUGGUUUCUAGGACUGAGGUAAUGAUUAAUAGGGAUAUUUGGGGGCAUUCGUAUUAACCGGUCAGAGGUGGAAUUCUUGGAUUCGGUUACGACGAACUACUGCGAAAGCAUUUGCCAAGAAUGUUUUCAUUGAUCAAGAACGAAAGUGUGGGGAUCGAAGAUGAUUAGAUACCGU